rnacentral:lncRNA from 1 species
GCCCUACCCUGGUGCAAGAGUUACCUUUCAGCUGUGGCCGCAAUGGCUGCUCACUGCCGGGGCACAGAGCUCGGGACUUGCUCCACGAAUAAUCAGUCUAGACUUUAAAGACGUUUAGAAUUGCAUGCUCGACAGGUAGCUUCUGUACCAGGUUCACCUCAAUGAACUCCUUCCAACAGACGGUGGCUUACACUUUAUCCCUUAAACGUUAGCUGCGAUCCAGCGUACCCUGGAUUGGAAGAGUGAAGAUGGGGGCUAAAGGUUGAGGCUGAGAGUUUCUCCCUCCCAGGAAGUCCUGCCUUCUCUCUCUACUGCCCAAUCACAGGCUUUAGCCUUUUGUUGACCAAUUAACUUGGGGAAGCCCGGUGUAUCUGACAGACAUAUUUGCAAGGCAGGAGUUACGAAGGACUUGCCUACUGGAUCUUGGCAGAGCUAGGCAGUUACUUCUGCCUGUGUUCAAGUAUUGUCCAUUUUGGAGAGCAUUCUGUCAGCAGAUGAAGUUAGGGCAUUUUCUUUGCCUGGUGGCUUAGCCUGUCACAAAUGAAGCCAUCUCCAAAUGGGGGUCCUUUGAUGCGCAUCAUCUUUCAAGUUGAGCGGGGCGCUGUCUGGAGCUGUCAUGUGUCUAUGUCAAAAAACCCUCACAUCAAUAAAAGCACCUUUAAAUGCC